GCUAACGCGUGAAGUUGACCGCCUGGGGAGUACGGUCGCAAGAUUAAAACUCAAAGGAAUUGACGGGGACCCGCACAAGCGGUGGAUGAUGUGGAUUAAUUCGAUGCAACGCGAAAAACCUUACCUACCCUUGACAUGGUCGGAAUCCUGCUGAGAGGUGGGAGUGCUCGAAAGAGAACCGGCGCACAGGUGCUGCAUGGCUGUCGUCAGCUCGUGUCGUGAGAUGUUGGGUUAAGUCCCGCAACGAGCGCAACCCUUGUCCUUAGUUGCUACGCAAGAGCACUCUAAGGAGACUGCCGGUGACAAACCGGAGGAAG
rnacentral:rRNA from 1 species